CAUCUUGGGAGGGAGAGCGGCCGAGGGCGAAGUGGUUGUUUUCUGUGCCUGGGUGCUAUGGUGUCACGUGGAUGGCAUGUGUGAGCCAAGUAUGUGAGUGCAUGAGUGAAUGUGAUCGCGUAUGGGAUGUGCAAGGCAAGUGCAUGCCCCCUGUGGUUCUCCCUGCUGCCCCCACAUGUUGAUCUUACUUGAUUGGGCUGUGACCCCAGCCCUGCCCAGCCGACCAGAAAUGAAAAGCUCCUCUCCUGCAAAGCCCCCUCCUCGGGGAGCCAUGUAGCAAGGCCCCUAGGGAGGCCACAGAGCCAUGGCCUCAGAGCCAGUCCUAUGAAGCCUGGCCCUCAGAUGCAAUGAAUCGAUCAAAUAGACAAGGACGGGCUUGUCCCGGGCCCAAAUUAUGAAGGUGAUUCUGACCUGA